UUCGCAAUGCCCGAAAGGGUGACAAUGCGACGCCGCGUGAGCGAUGAAGGCCUUCGGGUUGUAAAGCUCUGUUAGCUCGGAUGAAAGCAAGAAAGCUAAUACCUUUUUUGUUUGACGGUACGGGCAGAGGAAGCCACGGCUAACUCCGUGCCAGCAGCCGCGGUAAGACGGAUGGAGCGAGCGUUGUUCGGAAUCACUGGGCAUAAAGCGCAUGUAGGCGGCGGCGCAAGUCAGGUGUGAAAUCCCACGGCUCACCCGUGGAACUGCAUUUGAUACUGCGUCGCUGGAGUGAAGGAGGGGAGAGUGGAACUGCUGGUGGAGCGGUGAAAUGCGUAGAUAUCAGAAGGAACGCCGGCGGCGAAAGCGACUCUCUGGCCCGAAACUGACGCUGAGUGUGCGAAAGCUAGGGGAGCAAACGGGAUUAGAUACCCCGGUAGUCCUAGCCGUAAACGAUGGGCACUAAGUAGAGGGGUUUU
rnacentral:rRNA from 1 species